rnacentral:tRNA from 1 species
GGGGUUGUAGCUCAGUGGUAGAGUGCUUGCCUAGCAUAUGUAAGACACAGGGUUCAAUUCUCAGCACCA